rnacentral:rRNA from 1 species
GAUGAACGCUGACAGAAUGCUUAACACAUGCAAGUCCACUUGAAUUUGGGUUUUUAACUUAGGUUUGGGUGGCGGACGGGUGAGUAACGCGUAAAGAACUUGCCUCACAGCUAGGGACAACAUUUGGAAACGAAUGCUAAUACCUAAUAUUAUGAUAAUAGGGCAUCCUAUAAUUAUGAAAGCUAUAAGCGCUGUGAGAGAGCUUUGCGUCCCAUUAGCUAGUUGGAGAGGUAACGGCUCACCAAGGCGAUGAUGGGUAGCCGGCCUGAGAGGGUGAUCGGCCACAAGGGGACUGAGACGCGGCCCUUACUCCUACGGGAGGCAGCAGUGGGGAAUAUUGGACAAUGGACCGAGAGUCUGAUCCAGCAAUUCUGUGUGCACGAUGAAGUUUUUCGGAAUGUAAAGUGCUUUCAGUUGGGAAGAAACAAAUGACGGUACCAACAGAAGAAGUGACGGCUAAAUACGUG